rnacentral:rRNA from 1 species
GAUGAACGCUGGCGGCGUGCCUAAUACAUGCAAGUCGAGCGAACAGACGAGGAGCUUGCUCCUCUGACGUUAGUGGCGGACGGGUGAGUAACACGUGGAUAACCUACCUAUAAGACUGGGAUAACUUCGGGAAACCGGAGCUAAUACCGGAUAAUAUAUUGAACCGCAUGGUUCAAUAGUGAAAGACGGUUUUGCUGUCACUUAUAGAUGGAUCCGCGCCGCAUUAGCUAGUUGGUAAGGUAACGGCUUACCAAGGCAACGAUGCGUAGCCGACCUGAGAGGGUGAUCGGCCACACUGGAACUGAGACACGGUCCAGACUCCUACGGGAGGCAGCAGUAGGGAAUCUUCCGCAAUGGGCGAAAGCCUGACGGAGCAACGCCGCGUGAGUGAUGAAGGUUUUCGGAUCGUAAAACUCUGUUAUUAGGGAAGAACAAAUGUGUAAGUAACUAUGCACGUCUUGACGGUACCUAAUCAGAAAGCCACGGCUAACUACGUG